CAGCCGCCGCGGGAAUACGAAGGGGGCUAGCGUUGCUCGGAAUUACUGGGCGUAAAGGGCUCGCAGGCGGUUUCUUAAGUCUGAUGUGAAAGCCCCCGGCUCAACCGGGGAGGGUCAUUGGAAACUGGGAAACUUGAGUGCAGAAGAGGAGAGUGGAAUUCCACGUGUAGCGGUGAAAUGCGUAGAGAUGUGGAGGAACACCAGUGGCGAAGGCGACUCUCUGGUCUGUAACUGACGCUGAGGAGCGAAAGCGUGGGGAGCGAACAGGAUUAGAUACCCCUGUAGUCCCUGUCUCUUAUAC
rnacentral:rRNA from 1 species